rnacentral:lncRNA from 1 species
AGCCUGAGAGGUAGAGGGAGGAGGGGGAGGAGGCCACUGCUGCAAUGGAGGCCUAGACGUAUUAGCAUUUUGACCUAUCUGAGUGGCAUAGUUACCCUGACCAUACAUCUCAAACAGCCAGCUACCUAUAGAAUUAACAAUUCUUGGGUGCACGAUCCCACCUGGCGGUCCAAGAGAGUUCCGACGUGCAGAUCACCAAAUUAACUCAUCCAGCAGCCCGUUUAAAGACAAACUGUAGCCUUCAAUUCAAAUAAUUCAACAAAUCUAAUUCCAGCAAAGUAGCGAAUAACAAAUUUUCAUGACCUUGCAGGCAUUUACAAAGAUGAAGAGAAAGAAACAAGAGGAAGAGAAGAAAGCAGAAGCCAAUGCAAAAAUCUGACAAGGUAAUCAACUAAUCUCAGCAUUGAUACUACACGUCCAAAGUUAAGGAAUCAGACUCCAAAGGGAUAUGACUCCUCCAGUUUACAAGAUUAAAAAGUUUUAUCUUUUUUCUUUCAGCAAAGCCUAUCACCACUAUGUAGACUGCAAAAUUUACAGUUUCAGAGACGAAGAAAUAAGGCAUGCAGGAAUGUUCAUAAAGUUGAUAGCUUUCAUAUUUAACAAAACCACCUAAACGCACAUUCUAAAUAAUACUUAACAGAUAUGAAAUCUUUACCCAAAUAACAACAGGAUAAAUUUUAACUUAAUCCCUACCUAAGAAGACCUUAGGAACCAAACCCACCGCCCAACACCUUGCCCGCCCAACGCCCCCAAUGCAGCAAAACGCUUCAUAGUGUUAAGGAAUUUCUACAUCCUUCCCUCCAAUUAACAAAGAUUUUAUAACACAUAAAAUCGGUAUUAAGGAUUUCAAACUUUCCACACAAAAAUUUACUUAACAAAAUACUGAAUCAAUCAACAGCAUCUCAAUCCCAAAUUUGUAAGCAUAAAAAGCCAAACAAAAAAAAACUAAAAAGAAGAAGAAAAUAAUCUCACCUUUUAAAUUGCAAGCAUUUUCAAAUGACAGUAACAAACAUACCCAGUAAAAGAACAAUAAAAGCAAAUAACUUAAGCACAAAUAUACACUUACAAUGCAUACUAAAUGACGAAUUAGUAGGUCCGAAGAUGUCAAUUUAAACUGAUUUCGACGAUCUGAAUUGAAAUCCAGCGAGUUUCGCAUCCGAGAUUUUUGAAGUCCUCUUCUGGGUUAAAACCCUAGAGAGAGAAACAGAGAGAGCGCAGUGGCUAU